rnacentral:rRNA from 1 species
GACGAACGCUGGCGACGCGCUUAACACAUGCAAGUCGAACGGAAAGGCCUGCUUUCCCUUGUGGAUUGCGGGUACUCGAGUGGCGAACGGGUGAGUAACACGUGAGUGAUCUGCCCCCAACUUGGGUAUAAGCCUGGGAAACUGGGUCUAAUUCCCGAUAGGACUGCAGGGUGGUGCCUGUGGUGGAAAACGAUUUUCUAGUGGUUGGGGAUGAGCUCGCGGCCUAUCAGCUUGUUGGUGGGGUAAUGGCCUACCAAGGCGGCGACGGGUAGCCGGCCUGAGGGGGUGGACGGCCACAUUGGACCUGAGGUACGGCCCAGACGCCUACGGGAGGCAGCAGUGGGGAAUAUUGCACGAUGGGCGGAAGCCUGAUGCAGCGAAGCCGCGUGGGGGAUGACGGCCUUCGGGUUGUAAACUCCUUUCGACCGCGAGGAAGCCACCUGGUUGGAAGGGUGGUGACGGUAGUGGUAGAAGAAGCACCGGCUAACUACGUG